GACGAACGCUGGCGGCGUGCUUAACACAUGCAAGUCGAACGGAAAGGCCCUGCUUUUGUGGGGUGCUCGAGUGGCGAACGGGUGAGUAACACGUGAGUAACCUGCCCUUGACUUUGGGAUAACUUCAGGAAACUGGGGCUAAUACCGGAUAGGAGCUCCUGCUGCAUGGUGGGGGUUGGAAAGAUUCGGCGGUUGGGGAUGGACUCGCGGCUUAUCAGCUUGUUGGUGGGGUAGUGGCUUACCAAGGCUUUGACGGGUAGCCGGCCUGAGAGGGUGACCGGCCACCUUGGGCCUGAGAUACGGCCCAGUCUCCUACGGGACGCAGCAGUGGAGAAUAUUGCACAAUGGGCGGAAGCCUGAUGCAGCAACGCCGCGUGCGGGAUGCCGGCCUUCGGGUUGUAAACCGCUUUCGCCUGUGCCGAAGCGUGAGUGACGGUAAUGGGUAAAGAAGCACCGGCUAACUACGUG
rnacentral:rRNA from 1 species